rnacentral:lncRNA from 1 species
CCGAACCCCACCGAACGCGUCCGCCGCCUCCCGAUCCCGCCCCGCGGUCCCCCCCGGGGCAUGAACCGCCCCCCGGCGGGCCGAAACCGGCCAAACCGGCAAAACCGCCCCGAUCAUGCCCGUUUUUCGGCGUUCAAACCGCCGCGCGGCUACCCCCCCAUCCCGAUGUCCCCGGACCCCUGGUCCCGUGGGACCUGACGGAAACGGAAUCGGAUGCCCGGAUCAUGAGAUACGCCCAAAACCGUCUAAACCUACUGAGCGCACCCCGAACAUGCCCAUUUUUCGGCGUUCAAACCGCCGCGCGGCUACCCCCCCAUCCCGAUGCCCCCGGAACCCUGGUCCCGCGGGACCCGACGGAAACGGAAUCGGAGGCCCGGAUCAUGAGUUACGGCCCCUUCUUUGCGGCCCCCGAGGACGUGCGCUAUAGCCCCCCGGGCCACCCCCCAUCCGGCCGCACCCGCCCGAACCCCACCGAACGCGUCCGCCGCCUCCCGAUCCCGCCCCGCGGUCCCCCCCGGGGCAUGAACCGCCCCCCGGCGGGCCGAAACCGGCCAAACCGGCAAAACCGCCCCGAUCAUGCCCGUUUUUCGGCGUUCAAACCGCCGCGCGGCUACCCCCCCAUCCCGAUGCCCCCGGACCCCUGGUCCCGUGGGACCUGACGGAAACGGAGUCGGAUGCCCGGAUCAUGAGAUACGCCCAAAACCGUCUAAACCUACUGAGCGCACCCCGAACAUGCCCAUUUUUCGGCGUCCAAACCGCCGCGCGGCUACCCCCCCAUCCCGAUGCCCCCGGAACCCUGGUCCCGCGGGACCCGACGGAAACGGAAUCGGAGGCCCGGAUCAUGAGUUACGGCCCCUUCUUUGCGGCCCCCGAGGACGUGCGCUAUAGCCCCCCGGGCCACCCCCCAUCCGGCCGCACCCGCCCGAACCCCACCGAAUGCGUCCGCCGCCUCCCGAUCCCGCCCCGCGGUCCCCCCCGGGGCAUGAACCGCCCCCCGGCGGGCCGAAACCGGCCAAACCGGCUAAACCGCCCCGAUCAUGCCCAUUUUUCGGCGUUCAAACCGCCGUACGGCUACCCCCCCCAUCCCGAUGCCCCCGGACCCCUGGUCCCGUGGGACCUGACGGAAACGGAAUCGGAUGCUCGGAUCAUGAGAUACGCCCAAAACCGUCUAAACCUACUGAGCGCACCCCGAACAUGCCCAUUUUUCGGCGUUCAAACCGCCGCGCGGCUACCCCCCCAUCCCGAUGCCCCCGGAACCCUGGUCCCGCGGGACCCGACGGAAACGGAAUCGGAGGCCCGGAUCAUGAGUUACGGCCCCUUCUUUGCGGCCCCCGAGGACGUGCGCUAUAGCCCCCCGGGCCACCCCCCAUCCGGCCGCACCCGCCCGAACCCCACCGAACGCGUCCGCCGCCUCCCGAUCCCGCACUGCGGUCCUCCCCGGGGCAUGAACCGCCCCCCGACGGGCCGAAACCGGCCAAACCGGCUAAACCGCCCCGAUCAUGCCCAUUUUUCGGCGUUCAAACCGCCGCACUGCUACCCCCCCAUCCCGAUGCCCCCGGACCCCUGGUCCCGUGGGACCUGACGGAAACGGAAUCGGAUGCUCGGAUCAUGAGAUACGCCCAAAACCGUCUAAACCUACUGAGCGCACCCCGAACAUGCCCAUUUUUCGGCGUUCAAACCGCCGCGCGGCUACCCCCCCAUCCCGAUGCCCCCGGAACCCUGGUCCCGCGGGACCCGACGGAAACGGAAUCGGAGGCCCGGAUCAUGAGUUACGGCCCCUUCUUUGCGGCCCCCGAGGACGUGCGCUAUAGCCCCCCGGGCCACCCCCCAUCCGGCCGCACCCGCCCGAACCCCACCGAACGCGUCCGCCGCCUCCCGAUCCCGCCCCGCGGUCCCCCCCGGGGCAUGAACCGCCCCCCGGCGGGCCGAAACCGGCCAAACCGGCUAAACCGCCCCGAUCAUGCCCAUUUUUCGCCGUUCAAACCGCCGCACGGUUACCCCCCCAUCCCGAUGCCCCCCGACCCCUGGUCCCGUGGGACCUGACGGAAACGGAAUCGGAUGCUCGGAUCAUGAGAUACGCCCAAAACCGUCUAAACCUACUGAGCGCACCCCGAACAUGCCCAUUUUUCGGCGUUCAAACCGCCGCGCGGCUACCCCCCCAUCCCGAUGCCCCCGGAACCUUGGUCCCGUGGGACCUGACGGAAACGGAAUCGGAUGCUCGGAUCAUGAGAUACGCCCAAAACCGUCUAAACCUACUGAGCGCACCCCGAACAUGCCCAUUUUUCGGCGUUCAAACCGCCGCGCGGCUACCCCCCCAUCCCGAUGCCCCCGGAAACCCUGGUCCCGCGGGACCCGACGGAAACGGAAUCGGAGGCCCGGAUCAUGAGUUACGGCCCCUUCUUUGCGGCCCCCGAGGACGUGCGCUAUAGCGAGGACGUGCGCUCCCCCAUCCGGCCGCACCCGCCCGAACCCCACCGAACGCGUCCGCCGCCUCCCGAUCCCGCCCCGCGGUCCCCCCCGGGGCAUGAACCGGCCCCCGGCGGGCCGAAACCGGCCAAACCGGCUAAACCGCCCCGAUCAUGCCCAUUUUUCGGCGUUCAAACCGCCGCACGGCUACCCCCCCAUCCCGAUGCCCCCGGACCCCUGGUCCCGUGGGACCUGACGGAAACGGAAUCAGAUGCUCGGAUCAUGAGAUACGCCCAAAACCAUCUAAACCUACUGAGCGCACCCCGAACAUGCCCAUUUUUCGGCGUUCAAACCGCCGCGCGGCUACCCCCCCAUCCCGAUGCCCCCGGAACCCUGGUCCC